rnacentral:lncRNA from 1 species
GUGAAUUUGUAAAUGUCUGGCAAUUCAACCUUUGACUUCUGGAAGUUAGUCAUUUUCCCCCGUUCUCUGGAAGUAUUUGUUACAAGAUUUGUAAACAAAAGCUCUACAUAGUCGGUGUACCAUGAACAUAUUGCAGCAAACCUUAGAUGCUUCAUUCCUGCAAGGCUUAAGACGUCACCAGGUUGCUCAGCCGCCACGAUCAGUUUGCCUUGAUUCAUCUUUUAGAUUUAAUUCGCCAGUUCUAAAGACUCCUAGUCUUCCUCGGUUUUAGUCUUUAAUCUUUCGUGUUCUGAGCAGAAAGUGAGAAAGCUAGCCUGUCUGAGGCCAUGGGCUGAGAACCUGGCAUCGUUUUCUUCAUACUGCAGUGUGGCUU